CAUAAUAUUACUGCCAUGAAUGGA
rnacentral:siRNA from 1 species